rnacentral:tRNA from 1 species
GGUCGCUUAGCUCAGUAGGUUUAGAGUACCUGCUUGACAUGCAGGGGGUCACUGGUUCAAGUCCAGUAGCGACCACCA